AUGCUACCAUAUUCUUCGAGGAUGCAUCCAGUUGUCCAUGUUUCCCUUUUGAAAUCAUAUCAUGGUACAAACCCAAGUGCAAAUUUUCGUUCUCUUCCUCCAAAUAACAACUUACACUUCAGUGACGUGGAGGAUAUUCUGAACAACACCAUGUUUCAACCCAUAACUGAACCAAGUAAAGAUGUGGGUCUUAAAUCUCUUAUUGACAGAGACGAAGAAAGAAAAAAACAGUUGAGUUUAAAGGAAGUGUUAGACAAAAAUGUGGAACUAAGGACUUAG